UACAGAGGUCUCAAGCGUUGUUCGGAUUCAUUGGGCGUAAAGGGUGCGUAGGUGGCGCGCUAAGUCAGGUGUGAAAUUUCGGAGCUUAACUCCGAAACUGCAUUUGAUACUGGUGUGCUUGAGGACUGGAGAGGAGACUGGAAUUUACGGUGUAGCGGUGAAAUGCGUAGAUAUCGUAAGGAAGACCAGUGGCGAAGGCGGGUCUCUGGACAGUUCCUGACGCUGAGGCACGAAGGCCAGGGGAGCAAACGGG
rnacentral:rRNA from 1 species